rnacentral:rRNA from 1 species
GUUGUGGUUAAAAAGCUCGUAGUUGGAUCUCGGCGGUCUGAGGGCGGUUCGCUUGAUUGAGUGCUACUGCUCUAUAGGCCGUGGUUUUGCCAGAGGUCUCGGGGUGCUCUUAACCGAGUGUCCUGCGAUGCUGGCAGGUUUACUUUGAAAAAAUUAGAGUGCUCAAAGCAGGCUUUUACGCCUGAAUAUUCGUGCAUGGAAUAAUAGAAUAGGAAGUCGUUUCUAUUUUGUUGGUUUUCGGAAAUCGACUUAAUGAUUAAUAGGGACAGUCGGGGGCAUUUGUAUUCAAACGACAGAGGUGAAAUUCUUGGACCGUUUGAAGACAAACUACUGCGAAAGCAUUUGCCAAGAAUGUUUUCAUUAAUCAAGAACGAAAGUUAGAGGUUCGAAGGCGAUUAGAUACCGCCCUAGUUCUAACCAUAAACGAUGCCAGCUAGCGAUCUGCCGACGUUUUCUUUGUAGACUCGGCAGGAAGCUUCCGGGAAACCAAAGCAUUUGGGUUCCAGGGGAAGUGUGGUUGCAAAGCUGAAACUUAAAGGAAUUGACGGAAGGGCACCACCAGGAGUGGAGCCUGUGGCUUAAUUUGACUCAACACGGGAAAUCUCACCAGGCCCGGACACUGGAAGGAUUGACAGAUUGAUAGCUCU